rnacentral:lncRNA from 1 species
UUUCCCCUAGAAUCUGGUUUGAACGAUAAAAUUUUCUUGAGCACAAGGUCACCUUCUCUGAACACACGAGGUCUGACCUUCUUAUCAAAAGCUUUCUUCAUCCUUUGUUGAUAUAACUGACCAUGACACAUGGCAGUCAAUCUCUUCUCUUCAAUCAAAUUCAAUUGGGUAAACCUGGUCUAACACCAUUCAACCUCAGUCAACUUGGCUUCCAUGAGCACACACAAUGAAG